rnacentral:rRNA from 1 species
GACCUCGGAUCAGGUAGGGAUACCCGCUGAACUUAAGCAUAUCAAUAAGCGGAGGAAAAGAAACCAACAGGGAUUACCUCAGUAACGGCGAGUGAAGCGGUAACAGCUCAAAUUUGAAAGCUACCAACCGGUCGCGUUGUAAUUUGUAGAAGAUGCUUUGGGGGUUGGCCUAGUCUAAGUUCCUUGGAACAGGACGUCAUAGAGGGUGAGAAUCCCGUAUGUGAUUAGUGCCAGCCCCCGUGUAAAGCUCUUUCGGCGAGUCGAGUUGUUUGGGAAUGCAGCUCAAAAUGGGUGGUAAAUUUCAUCUAAAGCUAAAUAUUGGCCAGAGACCGAUAGCGCACAAGUAGAGUGAUCGAAAGAUGAAAAGCACUUUGGAAAGAGAGUUAAACAGUACGUGAAAUUGUUGAAAGGGAAGCGC